rnacentral:rRNA from 1 species
UACGGGGGGGGCAAGCGUUGUUCGGAAUUACUGGGCGUAAAGGGCUCGUAGGCGGCCAACUAAGUCAGACGUGAAAUCCCCAGGCUUAACCUGGGAACUGCGUCUGAUACUGGAUGGCUUGAAUUCGGGAGAGGGAUGCAGAAUUCCAGGUGUAGCGGUGAAAUGCGCAGAUAUCAGGAGGAACACCGGUGGCGAAGGCGGGUCUCUGGGCAACAACUGACGCUGAGGAGCGAAAGCGUGGGGAGCGAACAGG